AGCCCACAACACCUUGCUUAGCCACACCCUCAAGGGAAUCCAGCAGUGAUAAACAUUAAGCCAUGAGUGUAAACUUGACUUAGUUAUGGUUAAAAGGGCCGGUAAAACUCGUGCCAGCUACCGCGGUUAUACGAGAGACCCAAGUUGAUAGGCUCCGGCGUAAAGCGUGGUUAAGGAAUGAUAAAUACUAAAGCCGAACGCUUACUAGGCUGUUAUACGCUUUACGAAAGUAAGAAGUACAUCCACGAAGGUGGCUUUAUUUCACCUGAACCCACGAAAGCCAAGACACAAACUGGGAUUAGAUACCCCACUAUGCUUCGCCCUAAACAUUGAUAGCUUUAUACAACCCCUAUCCGCCUGGAAACUACGACCAACAGCUUAAAACCCAAAGGACUUGGCGGUGCUUUAUACCCACCUAAAGGAGACUGUCUAUAACCGA
rnacentral:rRNA from 1 species